AUAGGUCUACACUUUGUGGAUUUGGUGCAGAAGAGCCUACCCUGCGUACACCAGCGAUUGCGGGUACAGUUGCUACCAACCAUGGUAUUCCAAAUCCUGGUAUUAUGGUUGUGUCUCAACCUGCCUACAGCAAACUCAGGGUCAGUAUGGCGUAUUGUGUCUCGUCCGUGAUCUCGAAGUGACUUUCAUUUAUAACCUGCACCAGUACAGUCUGCCUGGAUAUAAGUGAGGAUGUGUACAACGGGAUUUUUCAGCCAAUCGCGCUUGUCCAAAGUUGAUCUCGUUCCCUUAGAUAGUUUUUUCUUCUAUUGAGGUAACCAGAAGUUACUGCUAGGCUAUGUCUGAUUGUUUUAAAUAUGUAUACCGUUUCAAAUAGGAUUGUUCAUAUUUCUACCUUAUUGGUAACGUAUUUGAUUCCCAUGACAUGCGCAGGGUCAGUAUGGCGUAUUGUGUCUCGUCCGUGAUCUCGAAGUGACUUUCAUUUAUAACCUGCACCAGUACAGUCUGCCUGGAUAUAAGUGAGGAUGUGUACAACGGGAUUUUCAGCCAAUCACGUGUGUCCGAUGUUUAUUCAUCUAGUUUCCUGGAAAUUGGAUUGUUUUGCAUCGACUUCAGAUUUUAAAUGACUUCUAAAACUAGGCUAUUUCUAAUAGUUUCAAAUAUGAUUGUUCAUAUUUGACCAUUAUUGGUAUUCCCAUGACAUGCGCAGCUACCCAUUCCCUGAAGUAUUUCUACACAGUGCUCCCACAGUCUACUGGCCUUCCAGAGUUCAGCGCUGUUACUUAUCUGGACGAGGAACCAAUUUAUUUCUAUGACAGUUCUACAAAGGAAGUGGUAGCUCGACAGGAGUGGGUAAAAGAAGCCGUGGAUCCAGACUUCUGGAGAAGAAAUACACAAAUUCUUAAGGAGACUGAGAAGGUGUUAAAAAACAACAUGGCCACUGCAAGAGAUCGCUUCAACCAGACAAGUGCCCGUACAUUGCAGGUAAUGUACAGCUGUGAGUGGGUUGAGGAAACUGGUGCUACAGAGGGACAUGAACAGUAUGGAUAUGGAGGAGAGGACUUCCUGUUAUUUGAUCUGAAGAAUGAAAGAUGGAUUGCACCUGUUCGGCAGGGACACAUCACCAAAAUAAAGUGGGACGCUAAUGUUCCUAAACUUAAAGCCAAAAUUCACUAUCUAACCCACACAUGUAAUGAAUGGCUGAACAAAUAUGUUUCCAAUCGGAGACGCAUGCUGCAGAGGACAGUCCCACCGCAGGUAACUUUGUUUCAGAAAGAACCCUCCUAUCCUGUGACCUGCCAUGCAACAGGGUUCUAUCCGAACGCAAUCAUGAUAUUUUGGAGAAGAGAUGGGGUAGAAGUCCAUGGUGUGGAUGUGGUGCAUGAAGAGACCCUGCCUAACGGGGAUGGGACGUAUCAGAAGAGAACCCAUCUCGCUGUGUCCCCUGAAGACCUACAGAAGCACGACUACAAAUGCACUGUCAAACACAGCGGCAAUGAUGUGGUUCUGUCUGCUAACAGGGACAGCAUUCGUGGCAACAGCAGGAAUACUCAGGGGGUUUCCAUCAUCAUCAUCACUAUCAACAUGGUCUUGAUAUCGGUCAUAUUGGCCUUCAGUGUGAUUGUGCUUGUCUUAAAGAGAACGAUGUACUGCAAAGGAAAAGAACCAUCAACUGGAAAGGAAAAACAAUGUCCAAUAAGUCGCCUGGAAAAGAAUGUUCUUCUGCUCAACAAUUCAAAACCUGCUGAAAUGGAGAAAUCAAAAUGUGAGUACUGCCAGGCAGAGUUAUUGUCAGUGAUAAUACAUGUUAUAUUGAUAAGUGGCCCCCCCCACUCACUUGUAUGUCUUCAAUGUACUUUCCGUACUGAAACCUGGGAAAUUAAAGCAGGGAAGUACAGACUCAGCAAUAUGACAUCACCAUACACAGUGAGGAGCCUAGAUGGUCUGUGGUGGAGAGACUUCAUAAGUCACCCAACUAUUCUGGUGACGUCCUAUCACUAAGUCUUCCACUAAUGCAUUCUUGUUUAAAUGUCCCCGGUGUCAGUAGGGAAAGUAGAAACCUAUGUGAUUUUCACAGUUUAAUGUUGACAUGUUAAAAUAAGAAAUAUGUUGCUUUUCAGUGAGCCAUUCAGCUGAUACUCUCCAGUGCCCGACUCAAGAUACGACAGGUUCCGACAGAAGCAGAACAAUUUCCUCAGGCUCUUCUGUCGGCUCUGAUGACUCUGGAGACUCUAC